CGCCGUCCUGUCGGCGGGGCGGCGGGUUGGGACUCGGCGGAGGCGGGCGGCCCCUCCGCCCGAAACGUAGGGCGGGAUGAGUCAGGUAAUUCCGGAGCAGUUAUAAAACGGGCAGCGCUGAGGUAUAAAAGGAGGUGCGAGAGAGACGUGAUUGGCUGGGGGCGCGGCCCCUCCAGGUGCUGCUGUUCAGACUCCGGCUUUCCGAAAAGAAAAUACGCAGACAGCUCGCCUCUGCCAUCCCGGGAGACGUUUCUAACCAUGACCCCUCCUUGAUGGGUUCGUCCCGGGUGGGGACGGGCCUGGAAACCGGCCAGGGCGACGCAGAGGACGGAUCUGCCCAGCUUAAUCCGCUGCACCUGCCCACGGCCACACGGCACCCGCGGCCCAGCAGUGAGGGCCCCGGCCAGCCCUCAGAAAUAAAGCGAAAUUAAAGACCAGCAAAGCGCAGAUCGGGCAGCUUUGGCCUGUGGGGGAGCAGGGAAAUAAUCCCGGUGCUCCACACUGCUCACGCACCCGAAGAAAAACAGGGCUAGGAGGCAUGGCCGGGGGUAGAGAGGAUGGGGAGCAAAGAGAGACGCGGCGCAGUGCUGCUUAACUGCGGAUUUCGGGUGCCAAGUAUUCACAAAUGCCUAACGCCAUAAAACGUUUGUGCACCGACAGCUGCGUGAAGGGAUUUGCUUAAGGUCACACAUCAUCACUGUGAUAAUAUUAACUGGAGGGGGAGGCAGAACAAAUAAUGGGAAUGACAAGUAGAAAUUUCCUCAAGUGAAGUACUGGAAAAGGGAAGAGCUGCAAGUGCUCUCACAUCCCAGCGACUUGAAAACUGAAAGAAGUGGAACAUGGAGUUGCAGUUGUGAUAGUAAAUAUGAUACCAGAUGGCUAGAGAAAAGCUAAGAUAAUUCUUCCAUUUCUUAGAAACAUUCCAUACUUCGGAAGAGGCAAAGAAAAAUUGUAAUCUAGAAAAAUGCAGGCCCGCUAUUUUCACCUCAAGGGUACUUUAGAAAAACAGUUUGAAGUAUAAGCAAACACGUGGAUGUAAGCGAGAUCAAAAGUCACCUUAGUAUUGGCAGUUGAUGUCUGCCUUUUUUAAGAUGCUUGAUGUUCUGGGCAAAGCAAAUGUUUUAUGGCUGAUACUGAAUAAUGGACUUCAGUGCGGUGCCUGAAAUGGAAAUUAUUAGCAAUUCUGAAGACGACUAGAAUUUAGGAGAACUUCAAUGGAGAUAAAGCGCAAGCAUAGGGGGAAAUGGUUGAGGUGAAUGGAAAUUACUGGGCUGAGGAAGGUUACCGAUGACAUCCUGGGGUAUCAUUCUUGGAACUAAUCUUUGUUUCAUAGUUUCCUUCAAUGAUUUUGGCAGAAAAAACAGCAAACUGAUGAGAUUAAAAAGAAAAAAGGGGGGGGGGAGAGAAUUGCUGUUAAAAAGGAAUGAACUAAUAAGAUUGAUGUAUGGGAUCAUCAUAUGGAAGCGACUGAGGAAGAGAAAGAUGCAAUUGUAGGUGACAGCUACACAAUGAGCAUCAUUACCAAUACGAUGCAAUGGCAUAAAAAGCAAGUACUUAUUUUAGGAUGUGUAACUGGAGAGUUUUGGCAGGAAAGUGUUCAUGCCUGCAGGUUCUGCCAUCUCCUUGGGAAAUUGCAUGCGGUCCUGACCACCAUUCUUUAGUGAGAGGCAGCUAAUCUAGCAUGUCCACAGAUUAUUUGCUAGCAGAGUCAAGGAAAAGAACAGUCUAUUUUAGGAGGUUACUAGUGCAUAGCUUGUUUAAUGCAGCAGAAUGAAAGCUGAGACAGAGGGUAUGGUUGCCAUCUGCCGUAAACCAUGGAAAACGGUAUGUGAAUUCAAAGGUAAUGUUGCAUAUGAGGAUAAAACUGCAUGUAUACUUUCAUGCUAGAAAAUGAAAGCAAGCACCUAGCAAAGCAUCUCAGGUUCUAGAACAUCCUUCUGGUUGGAGCAAACAUUUUAGCUCAGAGUGAAUCCUGUGACUUAGUGGUGCAACUGCAAAGGAGACUGGACACCAUUGCCUGACAAAACCCCUGCCUCUCCUGACUUCCACUCCUGGGCCCUGCAAUGGAAAUUUUUAAAAAAAUCUUUAGCCUCAUUCUGUACCUUUUCACAAUAUCUUUUUCAGCCACUCCUACGUGCCAGGAUAUGAGUCCAAAUAAAAGUCUGUUCAGCCUA